GAAAUAUCCUGUGUGAAGUUUCUGUUCCCUAUAGCGUUUCCCUCCGCUUCAACGGUUUCGUAUCAAUUACACCGAGUUCAACCCUUUUCUUUCUCCGCUACACUCGCGUUUUCACUUGUAUACACAUUCAAAAAGAACGCUUUAUUGAUUUUCGACAGGUAUCCUUUUCAGUGCGUUCAGCUGGUAACAGAAUCCACAAGAAUUUCCCAAGGAGGAAUUUAUCUCGCCAAUGUUAUAAAAACUGAAUUAUAACAUUCAGCGUUUUAACGUGUUAUGCACGAACAAGAAUAGAAAUGUUAAAAUUUACGAGGAUGUAAAAGAAUCCACGAGAUGACGAAGAUGGCAAAGAUAGCAGCUAAGACGUUUCCUAUUAUCAAAGAAUGUGUUGAAUGGAAAAAUCAGAAGAAACGGCCGAAAUUGAACCAACAAGAAUGUUCUUCUUAAUAGUAAUAUCUUUCUGAAUAAACGGUGACUACUGCCAUUUAUAUACGAUAUCAUUGCAAGAAUUGUCAUGCGUGCCAUUUCGCCGUGUGAAUGAAAUUAAUCAGAGUAUGGACGCAGUGAACGGAAGACGAGCGUACGAUUUACUCGUCAAAAUCAAAAUGACAGGAAGGCCAGGCAGCUCCCAAUAUUUUUUGCUCACGCCGAAGCUUCUGUCUGACUUAACGUAUGCCGACCGUGCAAGAGGAUGGGAAAUCUCUUCUAAGUUGCUUUUGUUCAUAUUAAAAAUUUGCUUGUAUCUAGUACAAUUUGAACUAAAAUUGUACUUUUCGCGUUAAGGUGAAAAAAUUAAACGUAUUUGAAAGUA